rnacentral:rRNA from 1 species
ACGGGGGUUGCGAGCGUUGUCCGGAAUUACUAGGCGUAAAGGGCAGGCAGGCGGAUUUAUAAGUUUUCUGUUUAAGGCAACGGCUCACCCGUUGUAAGGCAGGAGAUACUGUAGAUCUGGAAUGCGGUUGGGGAAGACAGAAUUCCUGGUGUGGCGUGGGAAUGCGCAGAGAUCAGGAGGAACACCGAAGUCGAAGGUAGUCUUCUGAGCCGUAAUUGACGCUGAACUGCGAAGGUGUGUGUAUCAAUCAG